AAAAGACUUAGUCCUAACCUUACAGUUAAUUUCUACCGGACAUAUACAUGCAAGUAUCCGCACUCCAGUGUAAAUGCCCUAACACUCUCUCACCAAGAUAUAAGGAGCAGGUAUCAGGCACACCCUAGAUUGUAGCCCAAAACGCCUUGCUAAGCCACACCCCCACGGGUAUUCAGCAGUAAUUAACAUUAAGCAAUAAGUGAAAACUUGACUUAGUCAUGGUACAAACCAAGGGUUGGUAAAUCUUGUGCCAGCCACCGCGGCCAUACAAGAGACCCAAAUUAACUGUCCACCCGGCGUAAAGAGUGGCAAGAUGUUAUCCUCCCAACUAGAAUCAAAAUGCAACUAAGCUGUCAUAAGCUCAAGAUGCACCCAAACCCACCCCCAAAGAUCCUAGCACUCACGAUCAAUUUCAACCCACGAAAGCUAGGGCACAAACUGGGAUUAGAUACCCCACUAUGCCUAGCCCUAAAUCUAGAUACUUCCUCCACCAAAGUAUCCGCCCGAGAACUACGAGCACAAACGCUUAAAACUCUAAGGACUUGGCGGUGUCCCAAACCCACCUAGAGGAGCCUGUUCUAUAACCGAUAACCCACGAUGCACCCAACCACCCCUCGCCAACACAGCCUACAUACCGCCGUCGCCAGCUCACCUCCCUUGAGAGCCCCACAGUGAGCCCAAUAGUCCUCUUUCCACUAGCAAGACAGGUCAAGGUAUAGCCCAUGGGGUGGAAGAAAUGGGCUACAUUUCCUAAAAUAGAACACACGGAAUAGGGGCGUGAAACCGCCCCUAGAAGGAGGAUUUAGCAGUAAAACUGAACAAUAGAGUCAGCUUUAAACCGGCUCUGGGACACGUACAUACCGCCCGUCACCCUCUUCACAGGCCCACCUACCCGCAUAAAUAAUUAACUCCACAAUAAGCCAAAGACGAGGUAAGUCGUAACAAGGUAAGUGUACCGGAAGGUGCACUUAGAACAU
rnacentral:ncRNA from 1 species